UACGUAGGGGGGCAAGCGUUGUCCGGAAUUAUUGGGCGUAAAGGGCGCGCAGGUGGUGGUUUAAGUUUGGUGUUUAAUCCCAGGGCUCAACCCUGGUUCGCACUGAAAACUGGAUCACUUGAGUUCAGAAGAGGAGAGUGGGAAUUCCACGUGUAGCGGUGAAAUGCGUAGAUAUGUGGAGGAACACCAGUGGCGAAGGCGACUCUCUGGUCUGAUACUGACACUGAGGCGCGAAAGCGUGGGUAGCAAACAGG
rnacentral:rRNA from 1 species